rnacentral:lncRNA from 1 species
UUUUUACCACAUCAAAUGCCCAAUGAGCAAACCCAUAUAUCGCAUUGCCCAGAUCGCAUAGCAUGCUAAAAAAAUAUUUAAAAAAACCCGAAGUAACAGAAAUGUUGUUGUAAAACCAUUUCAAACGAGAUCACUUAUAUAUAAAAAUAUAUAUAUAUAUAUGCAGCAACAACUGAACAGCAACAAACACAGCAGUCAAUGUGGCGAGAUGAAAUAAUUUUGUAGGCACCUAGGACUUAUAUAUUAAAAUGUUUCCCAAAUUAAAUGAAGCAUUGGUAUAAAAAAAA